rnacentral:lncRNA from 1 species
GAUCAAAUAGUAGCUGUACGUAUUUGAGCUAAGUACUUACUCAGCCGUUCUGGCUAAAGCACAGAUAGUGGAGAGGAAUCUUCGCAUCUUUCUUCCAACAAUGGGGAAUCCCAGACCCCUAAUUUCACAUCGUAGACUAGCACCUAUUACACUGGCUCAGCAUAACAAGAGGCUUAGGCCAGUGACUCAAGCUCCUUCUUAGACUCUACUAAUAGGACGCGGUAGGACUUGUUAGUACUGUGGUAAAGAUCAUGGGGACUGACCCUGGUAUCAUCUCAAUAAUACUUGCUACAUAUGUGGGAGUACCCAAUACUACACGAAAGAGUGCCCGCAGAACCAGAAUCAGACCAGAGCUCCUAUCUAGGGUAUAGCUUAUAACCUUACUCAACAGGAUGUUGUAGCCAAUUCAGAUAU